AGUGAAAAAACGGGGAAAGUAAGACGGCGUCGUUUUCACAAACGGAAGUAGUUUUAUAUAAAAGCAGCGUCUUUUCAAGUUUCAACUUUGAAGUUUCGAUGUCGGGCCAAAAGGUGGACCUCAUUCAUGAGGAAGGUUAUGAGCAAGCUUGGAGAUUUAGAUGUAAAUUCAAUUGGCUAGUGGCCAAAAAUCAAAAUUAUGCUCAGACAUGGAGCUAAUGUGAACCAAAUUAUAUGUGCUUCUAUGAGUCAACAUUCUCCAGAAGAAAAACUAAUGAAAAUGUUCCAUUUAACAACAGGGUGAGAAAAGGCCUGAAAUGAAGGACUCUUGGAAAGGACUGCAGCAGUAGAGCCUAUGACUUCUAUCAUAUUUGAUUGGAUUUGUCAUGACCCUACGAGUGGCAAUCUCUCAUAGAUAAUACAUGCAAGCUCAGCAAAUUGUCCCUAUAUACACAACUUGAAGAAAGCGAUCAAUUUCAUAAUACAAGUGAUUCCAUUUUUGUAUUGGGAUGACACCAUAUCGAGGGAUUGGAUUUAUCUUCUCUGGGAAGCGAAACAUAGGAUUUCAUUUGCUGUGCAUUGAAACAUCCCCUUUCAUCUCUAGAAGGUGUGAUCUCUAAGAAUCAUUUCUGCAGAAGCAACCUCCAGAAUUCAGAAGACAAGCGAUUACCCUAUGAGUAUGAGAGGUAAGCAUUUGAUGGUGUUUUGGUAUAUGAAAACCUUAAUUAGGAAACUUAUAAAAUCUAUAUGCCACCAAACAUGAAGACAAGAAGCUAAGAAUAUGGUCUGGUAAUUUAAUUAAUAUGAUUUUAUAAAUUUUAUAUCAUUGUUUGUCUUUGCAUUA